CCCUUAGAUGCUCUGGGCCGCACGCGCGCUACACUGGUCGAUGCAACGAGUUUCUUUCCUUGGCCGACAGGCCUGGGCAAUCUUUGAACAUCGAUCGUGAUCGGGAUAGAUUCUUGUAAUUUUUGAUCUUAAACGAGGAAUUCCUAGUAAACGCAAGUCAUCAGCUUGCAUUGAUUACGUCCCUGCCCUUUGUACACACCGCCCGUCGCACCUACCGAUUGAAUGGUCCGGUGAAAUCUCCGGACUGGCGUGAGUCGGAGCAAUCUGACAAACACCGGAAAGUUGAUUAAACCUCACCAUUUAGAGGAAGGUGAAGUCGUAACA
rnacentral:rRNA from 1 species